CAUGCAGGCGGUUAGACAAGUCAGGUGUGAAAUCCCCGCGCUUAACGUGGGCAUUGCAUUUGAAACUAUGUAGCUAGAGUUCUGUAGAGGGGGGUAGAAUUCCAGGUGUAGCGGUGAAAUGCGUAGAUAUACGGAGGAACACCAGUGGCGAAGGCGGCCUGCUGGACAAUAACUGACGCUGAGGCGCGAAAGCGUGGGGAGCAAACAGGAUUAGAUACCCGAGUA
rnacentral:rRNA from 1 species